CGUGGGCCUUUCCAAACCCUAUUUGACUUCCCACUCUCCUCUUCUCCUAAGAGGGUCGAGGUUAGGUCAGGGUUUGGGAUACAUUAAGAACUCUUCAAUUCGUCUCUCUGAUCUUUUCACUCCUGAGAAGUCUCUUAGAGAGCUUUAGGGUUUGGAGAAAUCUUAAUAAGAUUGCAUGCUGAAGGAAGUGGGUUUGAGAAGGAU
rnacentral:lncRNA from 1 species